CCUACGGGUGGCAGCAGUGAGGAAUAUUGGUCAAUGGGCGGGAGCCUGAACCAGCCAAGUCGCGUGAGGGAAGAAGGUACUGAGUAUUGUAAACCUCUUUUGCCAGGGGACAAAGGCGUCCACGGGUGGCCGUAAGAGGGUACCUGACUAAGAAGCCCCGGCUAACUACGUGCCAGCAGCCGCGGUAAUACGUAGGGGGCGAGCGUUAUCCGGAUUCACUGGGUGUAAAGGGAGCGUAGACGGCUAAGCAAGCCAGGGGUGAAAGCCCGGGGCCCAACCCCGGGACUGCCGUUGGAACUGGAUGGAUGGAGUGCGGGAGGGGCAGGCGGAAUUCGUGGUGUAGCGGUGAAAUGCGUAGAUAUCAGGAGGAACACCGGCGGCGAAGGCGGCCUGCUGGACCGCGACUGACGUUGAGGCUCGAAAGCGUGGGGAGCGAACAGGAUUAGAUACCCUAGUAGUC
rnacentral:rRNA from 1 species